rnacentral:sRNA from 1 species
UCGCGUCAAGCGCCGUAGGCAGGAGCGGGGGACCCAAGGUAAGUGCCGGGUCCGGCAGUUGAGAGGCCUUCGGGCCAUCGACGCCGGGACCGGCUUGGGGUGGAGCCGCGUCGUCCGAGAGGGGGACGCGGCCGGGCAACUCAACCGGCCCGAACCCGACAGCUCACCUCGCAGGCGUCGGUGAGGGGAUCG